GGAGAAAGGUAUAUUUAUUUUCCUUCUGAGCUUAUUAGAACUAAAUCUACACCAGUUUUCUAGAUUGUUUUUACACAAAAGAAAAGAAUAAUAACCUUACUUAAUAUUUUAUAUUACUUAAAUUAUCAUAAAUGGUAGUCUGGUAUGUGCGGUAUCGUUUAACGCUUGCAUAACACAGCUUUUGAAGUGACCUUGAGAGAGCUCUGUAAAUCUUAAACAAACCGAUAACUGGUUGAAGAUCUUGUGCAAGUUUUCGACAAUCACAUCAAUGGCCCAAGCUAUUCUGAAGACAGUCCGACCAUAUUUUGCUACAAUUCUGUACCCAACUGUUGUCCUAGCCUUUAUCACGUGGGAUCUGAAUCGCACAAGGAUUUUUAAAGCCAAGAAGUUAGCUGCAGCCAAAACAAAGUAGCUCGAGAAAUUAGUGUGAUUAACAUCUUAUCACUUCAACAAGAUGACUGCUGGGGCUGUUACGAAAACUCGCAGCGUGAUGCUGAACCCACGCUUCUUCAAGUACUACGUACACCUUGGAAGCAUAACAACCCUGUUCUUUAUCGGAUGUCAGCUGGACAAUUGGUUGAUUAAUAAGGAAAUGUCAAUGUUCAGGAACAAAUCUGGAUGUUUCCCAGCACGAGAUCUUGGUCCUGGUAACAAAAGAUGGUGAUUGAGAGAAUGGCAAACCUUGCUGUAUGUGUGUGUACAUUUUCAAUUUUCUUGUGAUGUACAGAAAUUAGAUUUGAUAAGUUAGACAUGAAUAUACUAUUCACAUGGCCCCAGUGACUAACAGUUAAUGUUGAAGUUCCAGCAAAGUUAGCAGUACACAAUCUACUGGUAAAGUCAAUUGUAAAUCUGAUAAUGGUGGCAGUGUUUCUUUUUGGAAAAAUAAAGAAUUCUUGAAAAAAACU